CGGGCACCUGUUUGCAACAUCUUUUGCUAUAUUAGGUGGAGCUUUUCUGGCCAACUACAUUUCAGAAAAAUUGGUUGGCUACAUUGGUGGACUGCUUUUCCUAAUUUUCGCUGCAGCUACCCUUUUCGGAAUUUUCUGAAUGUUGCAAUUCUGCGUUGGAGUAAAAGCUCAGAAAAUCUGUGUAAAAUAACGAGCAGAGUUAGCGUUUUUCUUUUGCGGCA